GUGAAGGAAGAACCAAGCAAGUGGCCAAAAGAAAAGUGAUCCCAGGAGGGAUGGGCCAGCUUGUUGCCCGGCCCUGGAGAAGGGGGCCAGAGAGCAGGUGACAGGGAACUACACCAUUAAUGAUCACCUACCAGGUGCCAUGGAAUCCUUCCAACAGCCCUGCAGUUGGAUUCUCAUCCCUACUUUUGCAGCUGGAGAAAAGAGGCUCAGAGUGGGGAAGACACUAGUUCGAGGUCACACAGCCAGUGAACCAAAAUCCAGAGUCAGUUCAUCCUCACAGCAAACCCAUGACGGCAAAAUAUUAUUUGAUUUUACAGAGAAGAAAACAACCUCUGUGAGGAGACACAGGUUCGAUCCCUGCUCCAGGAAGAUCCCACAUGCGGAGGAGCAACUAAGCCCGUGUGCCACAACUACUGAGCCCACAUGUUGCAACUACUGAAGCCCAUGCACCUAGACCCCAUGCUCUGCAACAAGAGAAGCCACAGCACUGAGUAGGCUGCACACCUCAACAAAGAGUAACUGCUGCUCGCCACAGCUAGA